rnacentral:rRNA from 1 species
UACAGAGGUCUCAAGCGUUGUUCGGAUUCAUUGGGCGUAAAGGGUGCGUAGGCGGCGCGGUAAGUCGGGUGUGAAUCUCGGAGCUUAACUCCGAAACUGCAUUCGAUACUGCCGUGCUUGAGGACUGGAGAGGAGACGUGGAAUUUACGGUGUAGCGGUGAAAUGCGUAGAUAUCGUAAGGAAGACCAGUGGCGAAGGCGGGUCGUCU